rnacentral:rRNA from 1 species
AUUGAACGCUGGCGGCAGGCCUAACACAUGCAAGUCGGACGGUAGCACAGAGGAGCUUGCUCCUCGGGUGACGAGUGGCGGACGGGUGAGUAAUGUCUGGGGAUCUGCCCGAUAGAGGGGGAUAACCACUGGAAACGGUGGCUAAUACCGCAUAACGUCGCAAGACCAAAGAGGGGGACCUUCGGGCCUCUCACUAUCGGAUGAACCCAGAUGGGAUUAGCUAGUAGGCGGGGUAACGGCCCACCUAGGCGACGAUCCCUAGCUGGUCUGAGGGUAUGACCAGCCACACUGGAACGGAGACACGGUCCAGACUCCUACGGGAGGCAGCAGUGGGGAAUAUUGCACAAUGGGCGCAAGCCUGAUGCAGCCAUGCCGCGUGUAUGAAGAAGGCCUUCGGGUUGUAAAGUACUUUCAGCGGGGAGGAAGGCGAUGUGGUUAAUAACCGCGUCGAUUGACGUUACCCGCAGAAGAAGCACCGGCUAACUCCGUGCCAGCCGCCGCAGUAA